UGGCGGCUGUAGCGCGGUGGUCCCACCUGACCCCAUGCCGAACUCAGAAGUGAAACGCCGUAGCGCCGAUGGUAGUGUGGGGUCUCCCCAUGCGAGAGUAGGGAACUGCCAGGCAU
rnacentral:rRNA from 1 species